UGAUGUUAGGAGGGCAAAUCCGCCGAAUUUAAGCAUAUAAUUAAGCGGAAGAAAAGAAAAUAACUAUGAUUCCUUUAGUAACGGCGAGUGAACAAGAAAAAGCUCAAGGAGAUAAUUCUAUAUCGUAGUUGUAAAAAGACUAUGUGUAUAGAAAUUGUUCUGUUAUAAGGAAGAAGUAAUCUGAGAAUAUAUGGGAUUUAUAUAUAUAUUUAGUUAUCGAAAUAAGUAGGAAUACUUUCCCAUAGAGGGUGAAAGGCCCGUAUCAUAUAUCAUUUCGUGGGCUUUGGAGUAUUUAUAUUUUACUGAGUAGUGUUCUUUGAGAUUGGAGCACAAAUUGGUGUGAUACAUUUCACAUAAAGCUAAAUAUGUACAGGAGACCGAUAGCGAACAAGUACCGUGAGGGAAAGAUGAAAUAGUACUCAGGAAUGAGCAAUUAAAUAGUACCUGAAAUCG
rnacentral:rRNA from 1 species